GCCCCUUUAGCUCAGUGGCAGAGCGUCUCCCUCGUAAGGACAAGGCCAGCGGUUCAAUCCCGCUAGGGGGCA